rnacentral:rRNA from 1 species
UACGUAGGGCGCGAGCGUUGUCCGGAAUUAUUGGGCGUAAAGAGCUCGUAGGCGGUCUGUCGCGUCGAAUGUGAAAACCCGGGGCUCAACUCCGGGCUUGCAUUCGAUACGGGCAGGCUAGAGUUCGGUAGGGGAGUCUGGAAUUCCUGGUGUAGCGGUGAAAUGCGCAGAUAUCAGGAGGAACACCGGUGGCGAAGGCGGGACUCUGGGCCGAUACUGACGCUGAGGAGCGAAAGCGUGGGGAGCGAACAGG